rnacentral:lncRNA from 1 species
AUCCAUAUUCGUAUUGGUAGCCCCAUUGUAUUUAGAUAGUGUGAGCCAGCAGUGUUCACUUCCACCCAAUUCAGGGACUUCCUCUAGCAAGGUAUUGCAGUUUGGAAGUGGGAACAGAAGAGACUGUGCAAUCUUCACAGGAGAACAUUGUCAUGACAAAGAGGACAAACAAGUUCAAGGCAAAAAACUAAACCAUAACCUUGGGAUUCAAGGAAAAAGUCAUCAAGCACAGAGG